GACGAACGCUGGCGGCGUGCCUAAUACAUGCAAGUCGAGCGGACCGAAUGGAAGCUUGCUUUCAUUCGGUUAGCGGCGGACGGGUGAGUAACACGUGGGUAACCUGCCCGUAAGACCGGGAUAACUCCGGGAAACCGGGGCUAAUACCGGAUAACACCGAAGACCGCAUGGUCUUCGGUUGAAAGGUGGCUUCGGCUACCACUUACGGAUGGGCCCGCGGCGCAUUAGCUAGUUGGUGAGGUAACGGCUCACCAAGGCGACGAUGCGUAGCCGGCCUGAGAGGAUGACCGGCCACACUGGGACUGAGACACGGCCCAGACUCCUACGGGAGGCAGCAGGAGGGAAUCUUCCGCAAUGGACGAAAGUCUGACGGAGCGACGCCGCGUGAGCGAAGAAGGUCUUCGGAUCGUAAAGCUCUGUUGUUAGGGACGAAGAAGUACCGUUCGAAUAGGGCGGUACGGUGACGGUACCUAACGAGAAAGCCCCGGCUAACUACGUG
rnacentral:rRNA from 1 species